AUUGAACGCUGGCGGCAGGCUUAACACAUGCAAGUCGAGCGAGCGGCGGACGGGUGAGUAAUGUCUGGGAAACUGCCUGAUGGAGGGGGAUAACUACUGGAAACGGUAGCUAAUACCGCAUACCAUCAGAUGUGCCCAGAUGGGAUUAGCUAGUAGGUGGGGUAAUGGCUCACCUAGGCGACGAUCCCUAGCUGGUCUGAGAGGAUGACCGGCAAAACGGGAACUGGAAAACGGCCCAGACUCCUACGGGAGGCAGCAGUGGGGAACAUUGCACAUUGGGCGCAAGCCUGACGCGGACAGGCCGCGUGUGUGAAGAAGGCCUUCGGGUUGUAAAGCACUUUCAGCGAGGAGGCGGUACUCACAGAGGAAGCACCGGCUAACUCCGUGCCAGUAGCCGCGGUAAUUC
rnacentral:rRNA from 1 species